rnacentral:rRNA from 1 species
UCGCAAGAUUAAAACUCAAAGGAAUAGACGGGGACCCGCACANGCGGUGGAGCAUGUGGUUUAAUUCGACGAUACGCGAAGAACCUUACCUGGACUUGACAUUUACAGAAUUUUUCAGAGAUGAGAGAGUGUCUGCUUGCAGAAGCUGUAGGACAGGUGCUGCACGGCUGUCGUCAGCUCGUGUCGUGAGAUGUUGGGUUAAGUCCCGCAACGAGCGCAACCCACGUCGUUAGUUGCUAACAGUUCGGCUGAGAACUCUAACGAGACUGCCUGGGCAACCAGGAGGAAGGUGUGGACGACGUCAAGUCAUCAUGGCCCUUACGUCCAGGGCUACACACGUGCUACAAUGGGGCAUACAAAGAGCAGCGAUACGGUGACGUGGAGCAAAUCUCAAAAAUGCCUCCCAGUUCGGAUAGUAGUCUGCAACUCGACUACUUGAAGUUGGAAUCGCUAGUAAUCGUAGAUCAGCAAUGCUACGGUGAAUACGUUCCCGGGUCUUGUACUCACCGCCCGUCACACCAUGGGAGUUGAACUCAUUCGAAGCGGGGAUGCUAAGAUAGCUACCCUCCACAGUGGAUUCAGCGACUGGGGUGAAGUCGUAACAAGGUAGCA